ACCCAUUCUCACUCCAAAGGCGUCAAAAAUCGAAGCAUGGUCAAGCGCCCCUAGCGUCACUUUUAUGACGCCAAAUGUGCCUCUCGGCGUCGACUAUCGAAGCACUACGACCUUCAUUGCUUUCAGUGGGAAACUUUUGGCGUCAGAAUUCGACACGAGGACAUGAGAUGUUUAUCGCUAUGAAAUCACGUUCAAGAAGUCUCAUUCAGCACACAUCGCGCGAUACUUGCUAUCAGUUCCACAGUUUGGCUGAAAAGACGUAAAGGCAGUCAGCCCAGUGGUGUUUCUGGAGAGGGAUUCCUUCAGAAAUGGAGAAGACAGAAAGCUGCGGAGGCAGAUAUUUGCAGCAUGUUCGAGUGAGCAUGAUGACCACGAGUGUGUGUCGAACUUUUCAUGACCUGAUGACUGUGUUUCCCAAUCCUGAUCCUGGAGAACCCCAGCACUGCACGGUUUUGGCGUCUCUCUUAUCUGCCUUGGAGUCUUCACUGAUGAGCUGAUGAGUUGAAUCAGGUCUAAAAUAUCGAGCUCAACAGCUAUUUUAAGAGCCAACCCUCACAAACCUUCCUAAAACCUAAAAGAGCUAUUACUGAGUCUCAGCGAAUCUUGCCAUGAUCAGCUCUUCCCAGAAGAGAAGGAAGACCAAGGAUAUGAUUUGCUCAGGAUGAGAAAUGAAGAUGGCCAUCUUGAGCUCAAACAAACAGAAGUCCUCUGAUGAUCUCAUCAGCCAAAUGAGGGGUUUUGACCAAGUGAUGCUCUUGAAAGGAGUGAAAGAAGAGGAUGUGGUAAAUUGUCUUCAGAGAAAAGCUUCUCAAAAGAUCUUAAAACAGCUUGAAGAAUGGUCUGGGAUCUUAGGACUGAGAGAUCAUCUGGCUGAGAACAAGCUACACCUCAUCAGUGCUGGACAUCAACCACAAACUGUUUCUAGACACGAGAGAAGAAGAACACGAUGGGGAGAUGAAACCAGUUUAGAUGUGAUGAUGGGAAUCAUUAUUUUCUGAAACAGUAUCACAUGUCUUAUAUGUAUCACAUGAUCUGUAUCACAGUUGACUGGAUGGGACUGUGUGACUUUUAAGGACAUUUCAUCACUCAUCUGUGUGAACUGAUUUAUAUAUGAGGUUAAUGUAUCUUUGAUGAUAAUUAUUUUCAUUGAAUCUUAUUUGUCUUGAUGCUACUUUAUCAACUUUAUAGUCUAUGCUUCAAUAAAAUGAAAAUGGUGAA